rnacentral:lncRNA from 1 species
GAACACUGCUAGCAGGAAAACCCACUGCUGGUGCCCUUGAAAAUACCUAUUAUACUGGAGCCUGCAUUCUGCCAUUUUUCAGUCUGCUAUGUUUUUCAGACACCCAACAUCCUUGUAACAGAAGAGUCUGUGGCACUAAUCUUGAACUGAACCUUCCAGUUCUGGAAGACCAGACAUGAUGUGUUCUGCUUGCUCUGCUGAAGAGUUCCUGCCAAAAUCCCUUUCUACCUUCCCCGGUUUAUAGAGAAGGUGGUGCAAUAGAGCCCUGG